AUCCACACCUUCCGUGGGCACCUGUUCUGUGCAGACGCCCUUGACCUUGAGUCCCAGGAUGGGAUUAGAAUGUGACGAGGGAGACAAGCCAGAGAGCCACAAAGAACAGACAGUGAGAGAGCAGACAGCUCCAUCCACGCUGCUUUAGGAUUUGGGGAAUUUUCCAGGGAUUGCAAAGCUCCAUAAAGCCAAGUUCCUUUUUGACUUCCGAGGAGCUGGGCGUGGGGUCUGGGAAGCCUGCAGAAAACCUCUUAGCCGUUCCCCUGCAAAUGUACUUGACUUCUCAAGCUGCAUUCCAGAGGACUUCACCCUGAGGACUUUUUUUUUUCUUUUACAAAAAACCUGUUCUGGAGGCUGCGUGGGAGCCUGGCUGGAAGAAGGAACCGGCUCUGCCAGCCCCGGCGCCUGUGCUGGAGCCCGGCGAGCAAGGUCAGCCGGUGGCCGGCCACGUCCAUGGCCACGUCCCUGAUCAGGAAGGGGUUGCAGGCCCCCGGCUGGAGCAGGAGGGUGAGGAAGACUAUGCGAGAUGGAGGGCAGCUGCCGAGGCGUGCUGGCUGCGCUGGUCGUUCUGGCUGGGCUGGCAGGUAGGGACCUCGGGGCUUGGUGGAAAGUUCCUGGGCAUCCCAGCUGCAGUGGGUGAAGGGACUCGGAGGAGGCCACCAGGGUGUGUGGCUGACAGAAGAUGCUGAGCCCUCUUCCCACCCCCGACCCUGCCUCCUUGUGGGCUCCACUCCGGAAGGGUCCUGCAGGAGCUCCUGACCCCACCUGUCCUCCUCCAUCCCGGUCCUUGAUCCUGGAGGCUGCUUUGGCACCUUUCUCUUCCGUUUCUAUCUGGUCUUCAGGGAAGACGUGACGCCGGCGUCACCUCCUCCCUGAAGCCUUCCUGAGCUUGCAGUUUUCCGGGUGAUAUCCCAGUUCCCAUUACUGACAGAGCGAGGGACCUGUUGCCUGUGAGACCUCCCAGUUGUCCCCACAGCUCCUCUUCGUCCCGGAAGGUUCCCAGAGUCUCGGUGGAAAUGGACUCCAGGUGUCCCAGGCCAGGGUCUCGGAUCAGAGUUGCAGGAGACGGGGAGAUGGAGCAUGCCAACCCCGGGGGUCAUCGGGUAACGAGAGCUUAUACCCCAGCUUUCUUUCGACUAUAUCUUGUCUUGAUUUCAUUGCUUCAUGGAUGUGUUUUCCUAGGAGGUUUUAAAUGCCUGAAGGUGGCCUUACCCCAGGGGUUUUAAUGCAUUGUAUUGACGCAUAACACCCGCGCAGAAAAUACACACGUUAUAAAAGGACAGGUUGAUGAAGUUUUACACGGAGCACCUUUGUGUGUCACCAGGGAGCCCAAGGGCACUUCACAGGUGCUUCAUUCAGCUCCCCCCCGCCCCUGCCCAAAGUGACCAUUGUUCUGACUUCUUGCUGCAUUGCUAGGUGCUGCUUGCUUUGCACUUUAUACAGCUAUGCACUCUACUUCUGAUGGAAAGAUAAUUAAAAAAAAAGAAACAACUCUGUUGGGAAGGAGUUGCCAUCGUGGCUUGGCAAAAAUGAAUCUGACCAGUAUCCAUGAAGACACAGGUUCGAUCCCUGGCCUCAUUCAGUGGGUUAAGGAUCUGGCAUUACCGUGAGCUGUGGUGUAGGUCACAGACCUGUGCUGCUGUGGCUGUGAUGUAGGCUGGCAGCUACAGCUCUGAUUUGACCUCUAGCCUGGGAACCUCCACAUGUCAUGGAUGCAGCUCUGAAAAAAAAAAAAAAAAAAAAA
rnacentral:lncRNA from 1 species